rnacentral:rRNA from 1 species
GUGGGGAAUAUUGCGCAAUGGGCGAAAGCCUGACGCAGCGACGCCGCGUGAGGGAUGAAGGUUUUCGGAUCGUAAACCUCUGUCAGAAGGGAAGAAACUACAUUGUGCUAAUCAGCAGUGUACUGACGGUACCUUCAAAGGAAGCACCGGCUAACUCCGUGCCAGCAGCCGCGGUAAUACGGAGGGUGCAAGCGUUAAUCGGAAUUGCUGGGCGUAAAGCGCACGUAGGCUGUAGUGUAAGUCAGGGGUGAAAUCCCACGGCUCAACCGUGGAACUGCCUUUGAUACUGCACAACUUGAAUCCGGGAGAGGGUGGCGGAAUUCCAGGUGUAGGAGUGAAAUCCGUAGAUAUCUGGAGGAACAUCAGUGGCGAAGGCGGCCACCUGGACAGGUACUGACGCUGAGGCGCGAAAGCGUGGGGAGCAAACAGGAUUAGAAACCCGGGUAGUCC